rnacentral:rRNA from 1 species
UACCCUUUCUUAAGAGAGUUAGAUCACGUUGUGCGCAUUUUCGCUAUUAGUGUGUUCUUUUAGAUUAAAAUGAUUCUUUUUAAAUCUCCAACAUUGCUUCGGGUUUUGGGGAUUUGGUACUUUGAGUAAAUUAGAGGGGUCAAUUCAAGCUAAAGGCGAGGUGUGUGUUUGUCACUCAACUUGGGGAUAACAUGUGCCCGUCCCACUAUCCCGCAUGGAGGAUGAUUGAAAAAGUAUGC